rnacentral:rRNA from 1 species
UACAGAGGUCUCAAGCGUUGUUCGGAUUCAUUGGGCGUAAAGGGUGCGUAGGUGGCGCCGUAAGUCGGGUGUGAAAUUUCGGAGCUUAACUCCGAAACUGCAUUCGAUACUGCGGUGCUUGAGGACUGGAGAGGAGACUGGAAUUCAUGGUGUAGCAGUGAAAUGCGUAGAGAUCAUGAGGAAGACCAGUGGCGAAGGCGGGUCUCUGGACAACACCUGACGCUGAGGCACGAAAGCCAGGGGAGCAAACGGG